UAGCUGCCUCCUGUUGCAUGGUUAUGGGCCCGGGCCCUGGUCUCGAGACUCAACCCAAUUCAGCAUCUGACUGUUGGAGCAACCCGUGUUCACAGAACUCGAACUACUUGCCCCGUAAUCCAUAUCACCAAGCCUUCAACUCCAGAUAAGAGGUACCUAGCUGCAGCAGGUGGCUACUUUUGAGAGAACUACACUACCCAUAGGUGUAGAAAGCACUAUUUGGUUUGUUACCAAAAUUGAAAUGCACAAGUUGAAAUUGAGGUACCAUGCUGCUGCAGAUUAUCAAUUAUGAUUUUUACACAUCCAACAAUGUGAUGGCCAUGGGAUUCCAAAUGGAAAAUGGAUGUAUUCAGUUUUGAAGAUGGAACUGUUAAGAUUUGGGAUUUAGUGUCAGUGAAUGUUCAUGUUAGUUUGGUAAAAAAGGCUUAUAUUAUCCACAUUUCUGAAUUUGAUCCUGUUAAUUAAAAUGGAUAUUAGGACACCCGGUAGCUAGAGAGAAUACGAAAGUGUGUUAAGGUUGCAUGAUAUAACUGUUUGUCCAUGUGCUAUUAAACUGAUUAUAACAACUUAUAGUUAGAAUAAGUUCAAUUAUCAGUUUGUAAUGUUUGGGUUAAGUUUCUUAGCAUGGAGUUUAGUAAGCUAUUCCAAUUACU